CCUACGGGAGGCAGCAGUGAGGAAUAUUGGUCAAUGGACGAGAGUCUGAACCAGCCAAGUAGCGUGAAGGAUGACUGCCCUAUGGGUUGUAAACUUCUUUUAUAUGGGAAUAAAAUGUUCCACGUGUGGGCUUUUGUAUGUACCAUAUGAAUAAGGAUCGGCUAACUCCGUGCCAGCAGCCGCGGUAAUACGGAGGAUCCGAGCGUUAUCCGGAUUUAUUGGGUUUAAAGGGAGCGUAGGUGGAUUGUUAAGUCAGUUGUGAAAGUUUGCGGCUCAACCGUAAAAUUGCAGUUGAAACUGGCAGUCUUGAGUACAGUAGAGGUGGGCGGAAUUCGUGGUGUAGCGGUGAAAUGCUUAGAUAUCACGAAGAACUCCGAUUGCGAAGGCAGCUCACUGGACUGCAACUGACACUGAGGCUCGAAAGUGUGGGUAUCAAACAGGAUUAGAUACCCGUGUAGAC
rnacentral:rRNA from 1 species